AUGAAUCCCCAGCAGGAAGAUCCAAGAGAGAAUCCAGAGAAGCUAAAGUUGACCAAAGUGUUGACUGAGGCAGUGAAGUGUGCACAAGCUCUCAAGACUGAUGAAUUGAUUGCUGACACCAGAGUUAAGGAAGCUUUUGCAGAGCUGGUGAAUGAAGUGUACCCGCGUCUACCUGAGAGCCUACAGGAUCAACUGCUUGUUGACUUCAAACUCAACAUCCUCCGUCGAGCGCAAGAGAAAAAUACUCCGGCUGAGUUGAUGGAUGGUGAGCAGAAGAAGAACUUCCUCAGGAAAAAAGGAGCUCGUACCAAUACCUUGUGGAUUAUAGAAAAGCUAGUCCUGUUAGUCGGCGGGGAAAUGAAUAUUUGCACAUGGGGAUUCAGUUGCUUUGGACAAGGACAACAACAAUCUUUCAGGGCAGCACAAGUAUGGGCUCUGCUCUGGUGGCAUGUAGAAUUCGCAUGGCUGGAGAGUGGAAAAAUUGUUCUCGAGAUAAAGCUAUCUCACCUAAAUCUACGAUGCUAUAUUCAAAGUUCAGACAUUGACGUUACAUGGGUGCACUUCAGAAUAUUCUCCGGUUGGAGUUAUAUUAGAAGGCAUAUCCCCCGCAAAAUAAUAAUAAUAUUAGAAGGCAUUUGUUUGAUCAUGGUCAUGCCGGAAGUUGGGUUCAGAAGCAGGAAGAAAUUGUAUCCUAGAAAGAAACUAAUGGGACUAACUCGCUUUGAAAACAACGUUGUUGCAAUGGUUUACCUGACCGUGGAUGUGCAAAGGAAGGUCCUAAGUUGUUUUUGA
rnacentral:rRNA from 1 species